CUGAUGGAAGAAAACCAGCUGGAAAUCAAAUUUUACAGGAAAUGGGGAGACCCACAUUACAGUGCAGCAACUGAUAUCAUAAAGAAAAUGAAGGUGCCAAAUGAUUCAGAUUAAUUUACACUUUUUGCAAUGUAAUUUAUACAAUAGUACAUUUUCUUAAUGUAGCAUUCCGUGUCUUGGCAUAUUGCAUUGACAGGCUAAGGGCGUAGUCUGCAUUGGACGGGGGAGUAUUCAGUGCACCCUGUCCCCACAAACCACCUAGUGACCCCACACUGAUACACCAGAGACCUUUAUAGAAGAGCGCAGCUAGCAGAAAGAUGGAGAUAACCCCAUGCAAAACAAUCAGUUUUGUGUUACUGAAUGUUUGGUGUGUGCUAAAGACGUGCCAAAAACAGGAGCACAGAAUGCUCGUUUACACACACAUACACAUCAAUAGCAACAGCUGUGGAAUGUUACUAAGGCCCUUGGGAAUAGCAGUUUUUCUGUCAUUCCAUUGCUGUUGAACUUUACUGUAUUACUUUCUUUUAUAGCUGUAAAUAACCCCUGAAGGCCAUUUUACAUUAUAUUACAUUAAAUAAUUAAAUAACAAAUUAUGUGUCACAUAAUCCUAUACUGCCUUAAGUUGUGAAGAGGUCCCUCUGGAAGUUCUGUCAGACGUAGCAAUUUUUCAUUGCAUUCUUGGUGCUGAGAAAUGAGAGUUCCCUAUUCAUUAAUGGAAAAUAGUUGUUUUGUUUGCUAUCCAGAUUGAUCCCCAAAGUUAGGUUUUAUGUCCAUAUGCCUACGAAUGGUGCAUGUUCAGUGUCAUUCCAAAAGUAAACACGAGGUGGCCUGAAGUGCAAAGUUUACCCUCCACACUUUGGUCACCAUUGUUCCUUUUGGGGGCAGUAUUAUAUGAAGCAACCACUGUGGGUUCAUUAAAAUCCCAUGGAGUUUUAUUUAUGGACUUGAUAUAAAUAAUAAUAUAAUAAUAAUUGAUUAUUUCUACCCUGCCCAUCAGGCUGGAUUUCCCCAGCCACUCUGGGCGGCUUUCAACAGAAGGUUAAAAAUACAUUAAAACAUCAGUCAUUAAAAACUUCCCUAAACAGGGCUGCUUUCAGAUGUCUUCUAAAUGUCAUAUGGUUGUUUAUUUCUUUGACAUCUGAUGGAAGGGCGUUCCACAGGGCAGGCGCCACAACCGAGAAGGCCCUCUGCCUGGUUCCCUGUAACUUUGCUUCUCACAGUGAGGGAACCACCAGAAGGUCCUCGGCACUGGACCUCAGUGUCUGGGUUGGGUGAUGGGGGUGGAGACACUCCUUCAGGUAUACUGGCCGAGGCUGUUUAGGGCUUUAAAUAUCAGCACCAACACUUUGAAUUGUGCUCAGAAACAUACUAUCAAGAAGGGUUUCAGAACCGAUAGAGCCCCUCACUCAUAUGUAUAGGUUCUCCACACUUACUACUUGUCUGUUUGCUUUCAGCUGUAGAGUAGCCCCCCCCCCCCAAGAUAGCAAUUUCAUAAGUGGAACAUCAACAAUGAAUUUUACCCUUCCACUUUUUAAAAAACAAAACCAAACCAUGAGAUACUUUGUGCAAAACAGAGCUACAGGUUCAUGAGCUCUCUAUCUUACAUGUUUAGCAAUCUGGGAGUUAUGGCAGGUCUAUAUGGUGAGGUACACAUUUAAUAAAUAAUAACAUGAUUCUAGUGAAACAUCAUAAAUCUAAUAUCAUGCCAAACAGGUUGCAUAAAGAUGUAUAUUUUACAUAUGAGUACCAGGCAGAAAGAUUGGUUCACAAGUUUCUGUAACCCCAAACUUUGCCUAAAACUUCCUAACAGGAGAAUGGUUGGUUUUCUCCAAUUCUUUCUUCCCACUGCAGUCCAUGUGUCCUGGAAAAUCCUGGCUCAGAGGGCUGGGAGACCAACCAUAACAGCAAUAAAGUGGAACAGAGGGCUGCAGGGGCAAAGUGGAAUUGGAACACAAUCUUCUCUAGUUCUUGUACAUUAGAGGACACCUCUAUUGGAUCACCCCAAAUUUGUCUUCAAAUAGAAAGAUAGCAGUAGAUUAAUUUUAGCACAACUUGUUCAGGGUGCAGAAAUUUGCUCCUGUGUUUGGUCUAUUCAACUGAGCACUAUCAGCAGUUUUAAUCUCUGCUGCUUUUACAUUUUAGGUGGAAGACAAAGUAUAACAAGUAGCAUUCAGCAUGGGGAAUGUGUAAAUGUGUUAUAUAUAAACAUAAUACCGAAAUACAAAUAGGGUUCUCAGCAACUGUCCAUCAAAUAGUUUGUAUCAGUUAGACAAAUUUUUCCUUUCGACUUCUAGAUCCUAGCAUUUUCCUGACCCCCAAUGCAAAUAACCAGAUAUCAAAUGGGUUCAGUAGAAAUUAAAGGAAUUAUUCCCUUCUGUUUUACUACAGGCAGUAUCAUAUUUAUGAGAGCUGUUGACCAAGAGUAGAGUAGAGUGUAUACUUUACAUUCAGAAGAUUACAUAUGUUAUAUCUAUGUUUAUCCAGGUACUGCUGGGAAAGGCUCCUGUUUGAAGCCUUGGAAAGCUGUAUUCAUAGUCAGUGGCCCUCAAUUAACUCUUCCACUUCUUUCUGGAUGAGAUCAACAAAGCCAUCACCACCCACUUGCCUGGCCAUCAGCACAAUGUCCUCCACCUCAGUGGCAAUGCUUGGAAAUCCCUUGAAAUUGUGCACAUGUAUUCCUUCCACAAGUUCCGCCAUUUACGAACACCUGAAAUCUAUUAAUUUCUUUCUUUCGAAUAAAAGACGGCAACAGCAUUCUGAGCUAGAUACUACUUACUCAGGGCCAAGCCAUGCAUGAUGCAGCAGGUUCAUGAUGAAAUUGUCUUGCAUUGUGUCAUUAAUUUUUUUUAAAAAACAGGUUCAGGGAGUUCAAAAUUUAUCCCUUCUUCAUUUAUCCAAUCUUAAUCACACAUAUCACAAGAUUCCACUAGCUCUACAUGGGGGUAGGGUGUUUAAAAAAAUUCAAAAUGUAUCUCCACUUAUGUAUGGUUUAUUCCUUUGCACUAUCUUGAUUUGACCCCUCUUGGAGUUUUUCCCCCACCCCAAAUUGCCAAGGAAAAUAAAAUGCUUGCUUUAUGGAGGGUUUUCCCCCUAGUUCUUACCAUUGAAGGAAAUCACACAAGCAGAGAGGAAGUUAUCUUCUUUUUUUAUGCUGAAGCACUCGACUUUCAUGGGAUUCUUUAAAAAGCUAAAUUACAUAAAGAAACUGUGGGGGAACUAAACGCCUUAGGCAGUUGAUAAUGGUUUAUGGAACCUUUCAUGUUCCAAUCAUCAGUUGAAAUCGGACUUAGGUCAGAAGAGACUGAAAAUAAUUACCGUCCUAUGGCAGCUGUGAGCUUGGAUGUGAUGAAUUGGUGGCUUCAAUAGUUGUACUUCACAUUACAAAGACAACUUCAAAACAAACCACUACUGUAAUUUGUACUAAUAGUUGAUGUCCACUUGCCAUUCCAAACUGAGGAACCACUUACUUAUCCACUAUAUAUUUUGGAAAAUGGUUUGUCUGUCUGUCUGUCCAUUCUCUGUGCUUUCAAAUGCUUCUAGAGAUAUUGUCACCCAAUCUGGCAUCAUUGUUCUCGAGGUGGAGACAGUUUUCACCCACAUUUGGACACCAUCAGAUGCAAUUUUGAAUGAAGAUGUCAGACUGAAAUGUUGCAAACCACCACACCAAAUUCCCAUGGAAUGCCCUCCCACUUGAGGUAAGGCCUGUAACAGUGAGGUGGUGAAGGCAGGGCCACAUUGCACAACUACCGUCAAGGCAACAAGUAUCACUGUCAUUUAUGGAGCGGGUAAAGUAAUUUAAAACAAAUUUUAAUUCAUCAAGUGAAACACAGACCAAGAGUCAGCUAUCGUAGCUUACCGGGGGCUCCAAAAGCCUGUUUUUGCUGCUUUUGUGGUACUGCAAAAACAGGGUAUGUCAAGUGUCUAAAAGACCAUGGUUGUUAGACUGUGGUUGGAUUGCUGGGUCUCAAUUUCUGCAGACCUGUUUUAAAGUUUCAUGGCUUGGUGAUACCCUGUGGCAAUAAGUUCCUUGGUCUAAAAUAAGUAUAAUAAAAACGUUUCCACCAUAAUGUUUACAUGGCUUAUAAUGGAGGUGAGGGGAUCAUGGUUAAUAUCUUCAUCUUGAUUACGUCCUUCUAAAAGAGUAAUGAAGAAUGUCAAUCUUCAGGAUUGCUAACUGCUAUGAUUAAGAAAAGUCAGCAUUAAGGCACGGUAUUAUUAAUUUGGUAGUUUUCUUAAGCACAUCACAUCUUUCAGUCUCUAAUACCAUCUUGUUGCUAAAAUUCAACAUUAAAUUAAGCAUGUUAAAGAACUGAGAACUGACACUGGGACAAAGUCCACAUAUAUUAACCAUGCAAGACAGAUGUAAGCAGAAAUGGGUGGUUUGUAUGCAUUUUGUAAUGGAAUAUAAGGGAUAUAAGCAAUCUUUGUGGGAGGUGGAUUAAUUCACCACCAGUAAAUUUGACCCAUUGAUGAACCUUAUGCUGAUAAUAUAACAAAAGGACAGGGUGUAGAAAACAAGAUCCAUCUGCUGUGAAAUUCCUUCCUUCCUUCCUUCCUUCCUUCCUUCCUUCCUUCCUUCCUUCCUGUCUUUCUUUUUAAAAUGGCUGUUAUUUAGGUAUAUGAAUGUGCAAAAUAUAUCUGAAAUAAUAAAAAAUGUUGGAUUUCUGCUGUUGCAUAAUAAAUGCACAAUG